GACGCUGGCGGCGUGCUUACACAUGCAAGUCGAACGAUGACUUUUGUGCUUGCACAAAAUGAUUAGUGGCGAACGGGUGAGUAACACGUGAGUAACCUGCCCUUAACUUCGGGAUAAGCCUGGGAAACCGGGUCUAAUACCGGAUACGACCUCCUGACGCAUGUCAUGGGGGUGGAAAGCUUGAUGCGGUUUUGGAUGGACUCGCGGCCUAUCAGCUUGUUGGUUGGGGUAAUGGCCCACCAAGGCGACGACGGGUAGCCGGCCUGAGAGGGUGACCGGCCACACUGGGACUGAGACACGGCCCAGACUCCUACGGGAGGCAGCAGUGGGGAAUAUUGCACAAUGGGCGAAAGCCUGAUGCAGCGACGCCGCGUGAGGGACGAAGGCCUUCGGGUUGUAAACCUCUUUCAGCAGGGAAGAAGCGAAAGUGACGGUACCUGCAGAAGAAGCGCCGGCUAACUACGUGCCAGCAGCCGCGGUAAUACUUAGGGCGCAGGGCG
rnacentral:rRNA from 1 species